GCCCGCUGUAAACACAUAGUCGCCUGCCAUAAAACCUGAAGCGGCGGCCGGCACUGCUAGUACUAGUUCAGACAGCCGCUUGCGGAUAUGGUCGAUGGGUGCAGGAAUGUCUGUCGGAGACGUGAGCGGCGGCGUCAUAUUUUGCUGUUGAAGUUCGAAGGUCAACCUCGCGUCAAGAACUGCGGUGUCGAACAUACCGAGACUUCUCAGUAACGUUUGCGAUUCGUUCUUCAACUGUGGGCAUUUCUUUCGGAACAACUUGAAGACUGCGGGCCACGUGGGUGUCGAACUCAACCUAUUAAAAUUAUAGCUUAAGUUAAUAUUAUAAUGUAAAUAAAUGAGCAUAAUGUAUUGAAGAUAAUGUCACUGGUUACUUAUGGUACCUGAAACAGUUCCUUUAUAGCUUUCGGUGUAAAAAGUUGUGACUGCUGAUCACCGCCUAGUUGUUUCAUAUAAUCACAAAAGUUUUGUGUUAUCUGGGAAAAUUAAAUAUAAUGUUUUAAACUCAUGCAAAACUCAAAACUAAAAAGUUGCACUUAAUUAUUGUAAUUAGGGCAUAAUAGAAUAUGUAUUUAUUUUAGACACAUGAUGGUUGUGUAAAUUAAAUUCAUUGACCAUAAUUAAAGGCCUGAGCUUUGACUCGGUUCGUAUUCUAGAAAGCUACUCUGAGUUUUUCAAGUACUUGGUUUGUAUUUACAAUUCAUUUCGCGAUCUAGGAGGAAGUAUCGUUAGUCGUAGGAAACUUGCUUGUCAGUAAUGGAAUUUCAAGGUUUUAGUGGUUAAGAUGGUUGAGGAUAUGAGUGCUUAUAUCUAUAUAUACUAUUAAUUGUCUGUUUGAAUACUACGUAAAAACACCGAUAUUGAUGAAGAUCUUGAUAUUUAACAA